rnacentral:lncRNA from 1 species
UUAGGUUUAAAAAAAAAAAAAAAAAAAAAAACAAUACCAAAUAAGUAACUGUUAAAUCGUAACAGAAAAAGGAGAGAAAAAUCAUGCCAGACAUAUAUUGUAUUGGAUUGCAGUAGUUUUAAUAAAUAUUUAUAUGAAAAAAGUAUCAUGGAAAACAUAAACUGUUCACGAAUGUGUCAGAAGAGAUAGUAGUAAGCAUUAUCUACUUAAGAGUUAUAAUUAGUCAUAUGCCAC